AUGUCUCUGGUUCAAAGUUUCCUCGAUAGCUCAUCAGGAAGCAGCAAUUUCAAUCCUAAUUUAUCUUCUUUCGAGUGGAAAGAGACACCAGAAGUUCAUAUAUUCAAGGUUGAUGUUCCUGGGUUUAAAAAAGAGGAAGUGAAGGUAGAGAUUGAGAGACGAAUGUGGAAAAAGCAGACGAAGAUGAUAUUUGGCUUCUCGUGCAGCGAAGCACUAGCGACUUCUUGAUGAGAUUGAGGCUGCCGGAAAAUGCAAAGUUGAAUCAAGUAAAGGUUUCAAUGGAGAAUGGAGUUCUUACUGUGACUGUUCCUAAAAAGGAAGUCAAGAAACUUGAUGUCAAGGCCAUUGACAUCUCUGGUUAG